AGCGUUGUCCGGAUUUAUUGGGCGUAAAGAGCGUGUAGGCGGUUUGGUAUGUCCGUUGUGAAAACUCGAGGCUCAACCUCGAGACGCCGAUGGAAACCAUCAGACUAGAGUCCGGAAGAGGAGAGUGGAAUUCCUGGUGUAGCGGUGAAAUGCGCAGAUAUCAGGAAGAACACCCGUGGCUAAGGCGGCUCUCUAGUACGGUACUGACGCUGAGACGCGAAAGCGUGGGGAGCGAACAGG
rnacentral:rRNA from 1 species